AUUAUUAUUAUUGAUUGUGGAGUAAUUUUUUACCAAUCACAUAUUGACACGUAAUCAAUAUUCAAAUGUUGUCAAAAAAAUGUUGUCUAAAUAUCAUUAUCCUAGAAAAAAUAAUAGAAAAAAAAAUGGAAGAAUACUCAUAUACAACAAAUAAUAGAAAAAAUUAACAAAAGGUCGAAAUUCAACUUACAUAAAAGGAUAAAUUAAUCGAUUUUAAUUCAAAAACUCAUCCCAAUGAUUAAUUUUAC
rnacentral:lncRNA from 1 species